rnacentral:rRNA from 1 species
AGCGAACGCUGGCGGCAGGCCUAACACAUGCAAGUCGAACGGAUCCUUCGGGAUUAGUGGCGGACGGGUGAGUAACACGUGGGAACGUGCCUUUUGGUUCGGAACAACUCAGGGAAACUUGAGCUAAUACCGGAUGUGCCCUUCGGGGGAAAGAUUUAUCGCCAUUAGAGCGGCUCGCGUCUGAUUAGCUAGUUGGUGAGGUAAAGGCUCACCAAGGCGACGAUCAGUGGCUGGUCUGAGAGGAUGAUCAGCCACACUGGGACUGAGACACGGCCCAGACUCCUACGGGAGGCAGCAGUGGGGAAUCUUGCGCAAUGGGCGAAAGCCUGACGCAGCCAUGCCGCGUGAAUGAUGAAGGUCUUAGGAUUGUAAAAUUCUUUCACCGGGGACGAUAAUGACGGUACCCGGAGAAGAAGCCCCGGCUAACUUCGUGCCAGCCGCCGCGGUAACAC